ensembl:lncRNA
UUCUAUUUUGCAUAGUUUUCUAAUUUAAUACAUAAAUUUUCAUUACAAAUUAUAUUAUUGACAACAAUUGAGUGAAAAGUAGAAUCUUUGAAAUAUUCACAUGAAUUUCAGAGUUUCUUAGAAUUUCUAAUGUCCUCUUUUUGCUUUGUGUGCACUUGAGCUGGCAUGGACUCUACAUGUUUGUGCAAAGCAUUAUGAUACAUUUUAGAUCAACUCCAUCGGCAUGUUGUCUGAACGCAAGCUUCAAUAGAAGAGAUCAGACAUGAGGAGAAUCUGACCUUUUGUACAAAGCAGUAAACAUGAGACGCAGGAGAGCCUGGAGUUUAUACCAAGGAACUCGGGGCAAGGGAACAAUCUGGAAAUGCAACAUGUCUUUGGACUGGGUGGAGGAAACCGGAGUACCCGGAGUAAACACCCUGAAGCAUGGGGAGAACAUGCACACUCCAUGCAUGCAGGUUAGAUGUAGGAAUCGUACCCCCAACCCCAGAGUGUGAGGCAAACAUGCUACCCACUAAGCCACUGUUCCCACAAAAAACUCAUUUAUCUUAAGGAAAAAUAAUAGGAGAUAUUUUAAAGUGAUGGCAAUUAUUAUGAAUGACAGACCAGAAAUGUUGAAGAAACCUGAUUGGACAUUUAACCU